AACGAACGCUGGCGGCAUGCCUAACACAUGCAAGUCGAACGAGACCUUCGUGUCUAGUGGCGCACGGGUGCGUAACGCGUGGGAACCUGCCCUUAUGUUCGGAAUAACUCCCCGAAAGGGGUGCUAAUACCUGAUACUAUCUUCGGACCAAAGAUUUAUCGCCUUUGGAUGGGCCCGCGUUGGUUUAGUUAGGUGGUAGGGUACAAGCAUACCAAGGCGAGGAGCCAUAGCUGGUUUGAGAGGAUGAUCAGGCACACUGGGACUGAGACACGGCCCAGACUCCUGGGGGAGGCAGCGGUGGGGACUAUUGGAGAAUGGGCGAAAGGCUGAGACAGCAAUGCCGGGUGGGUGAUGAAGGCCUUAGGGUUGUAUAGCGCUUGUACCCGGGAUGAUAAUGACAGUACCGAGAGAAGAAGCUCCGGCUAACUCCGUG
rnacentral:rRNA from 1 species